rnacentral:sRNA from 1 species
UAGAGCGGUCCGGAGUCAAUGGGUUAUCUGUCGAAACCCCUCCCAUUGAUACCAACUUGACCGGUGC